AUUUUGGUGUAUGAUGCACAUGAAGUUUUGAAUUUCAAGGGUUAGUUAAAUUCUAAAAAAUAUAA
rnacentral:tRNA from 1 species